AGCCAUAAGAAUACAUUUAUGGUUAAACCUGCCCAAUGUGAGAGAUGAAUGGCCGCGGUACUCUGACCGUGCUAAGGUAGCGUAAUCAGUUGGCUUUUAAAUGGAGUCAGGAAUGAAUGGAUUAACCGGGUUUAGCUGUCUCUGAAUUAUUAUUUUGAAUUUACUGUCUAAGUGAAAAAGCUUAGAAAUAGAAAAGGGACGAGAAGACCCUUAGAAUUUUUUCUAAGAUAAGUGUGCUAUCGAGACCCUUACUUCUAAUGAUUUUAUUGGGGCGAUAAAGA
rnacentral:rRNA from 1 species